rnacentral:rRNA from 1 species
GACGAACGCUGGCGGCGUGCUUAACACAUGCAAGUCGAACGGGCCCGCCCCUGUUUUUGGGGGUGGGUUGAGUGGCGAACGGGUGAGUAUCACGUGAGUAACCUGCCCCCUGCUCCUGGAUAACUGCUUGAAAGGGCGGCUAAUACGGGGUGUGCCGGCUGGUCCGCAUGGGCCUGGUCGGGAUAGUUUCAUCUUCGGGUGUUUCGGUGGGGGAUGGGCUCGCGGCCUAUCAGCUUGUUGGUGGGGUGAUGGCCCACCAAGGCGGUGACGGGUAGCCGGCCUGAGAGGGUGGGCGGCCACCCUGGGACUGAGACACGGCCCAGACUCCUGCGGGAGGCAGCAGUGGGGGGUAUUGCGCAAUGGGCGGAAGCCUGAUGCAGCGACGUCGCGUGAGGGAUGGAGGCCUUCGGGUUGUGAACCUCUUUCUCCGGUGGUGAAGGCCCUGUCCGUUGCGGCGGGGUUGACGGUAGCCGGGUAUGAAGCGCCGGCUAACUACGUG